ACAAUAAUAAAUAUCGUUAUUCUUCACAUUGUUAUUAAAAACAACAAAAAACACUACAAUACUUAUAGUAACUUUAUUUGAAACUUUUCAUUUGCAAUUUAACUUUAUUUGGUGCACAUUUGCAGAAAUAAGCUUGCACGCACAUUAUCAUCUCGUGUUUAUUCAUUACCCUUUAAAAAAAGAAAGGCAUACUUUGAUAUUCCAAUAUUUAAAAAUAAACCACGCACUUAAAAAUAUGUUUCUCAAAGGACGAUAUAGCAUCAUUCUGUCUUGAGCUAAACCACGCCCUCGUUACGAUGGUUGCGCUUACGUAACGUCAACGUCUCAGGCGGGAGAAACUGGAAGCAUUGUACUUCGGUGGGGAAAGAGGCAAGCCGUGGAAGAGCAAUCUUAAUAACGGUGGCGGUAAUGUUCCAAAAGCUGGUUGCCAACCGCUAUGAUGAUCACAAGAAGAAAAAGAAGUUUGGCGUUUCAAAACAGUGGAUUCCGGUCAGAAAGACACACAUGAGGAAGCUCGACUCAGCUUGGCUUGCAGACAGAUGAGGACGGUGAUUGCCCGUCAUACACCUAAAGAAAGAACAGGGGCAUUAAAGACACAACUAUAGUGAAAGUGAUGAAGAAAAAUUAUUUGGAAAAAAGAGGCUGGAGAAAAAACUGAUAUGAAGAUUUCAGAAAUUGAUGCAGCACCGCAAGUACCAUCACCACCAAUGACUAUGGCAGGAUCCUUAAGAACACCAUCAAGAUGCACAAAUGCUGUACAUUCCAGUACACCUAUGAACAUUUACAGUCCUUGUUCAAGUGGAGUCGGAGAUCAAGACAACUUAUUGCAACUCGUCAUGUCUUUGUAAGAAUUCAAGACAUCACUAAAUUUGUAAUGGCUUAAUGCAGCUAGAAAGUAAAGAUCAACUAGAGAAUAUCAGCAGUGUCUAACCCACUGUUGUAUUUACACAAGUUGCAUGAGAAUAAGCAACAGGUUGAUUUAUACUAAUUUGUUAUUUUUCUUUUUUAGCACGACUGAAAAAAAGUUUUAAAAUCAUGUGACGUCAUAAAGCAGCAAC